UCCCUCCCCGGAAACAAUGGCGUCUUAGCUCUCUCCUUCUCUCUCUACAGUCCAACAACUCUCUCUCUCUCUCUCUUUCCUUGUGUAAGGGGCUCUCGACUCCCACUUGGGUUCUUCUUGAAACGCCGCAUCGUCCUCGCGUUCGAAGCGCUUUGGCUUCCGUGCAGCAUUUGCCGGGGGGUGGCGGCAUGGUGGACUCGGGGCUCUCUGGUUCGAACGAAACCAGCUACAGCAGCGGCGUGUGCUCCACGCCGACCGGCACGGAGGCUCCCUCCUCAUACGCGACGCCGCUGGAAACGGAGGCCCUGAGGAGGCUCUCCGAUAGCCUUGAAUCGAUCUUCGAGCGCCCGCGCGCCGGCGCCGGCUCGUCCUUCUCCGACUCCGCGAUCGUCGCCGGCGACGGCAGCGAGGUCCCCGUCCACCGGUGCGUCCUCGCCGCGCGGAGCCCGUUCUUCGGGGCCGCGUUCGCGGGGAGCGAGAGCGGGGCGAGGCUCGAAUUGGCGGAGGUGUUCCGCGUGAGUUCUUCCUUUUUUUUUUCUGGGGAAAAGGGAGAAAAUGGAGAGGAGCACGCCGGUGAGGAAGCCUCACACUUCGACUUCAGAUCUGCUCACGUGGUCGGAGACUCCAUCUCCCCACGAUUCGGUCGCGACCGGUUCGGCUUCCUCUCGCUCCAUUUCUCGCUCUCACCAGGUGCGGCGUUCGCUCGGUCAAGACUGGCCGGAAGCAGGGGAGCGGCUCCUUCGCCUUCCUGGAGGUGAACGACGGCUCGUGCCCGAUGAACCUCCAGGCUAUCGUCGACUCGGCCGUGGCCGAUCUCGGCCUGCUCGUGCCGACCGGCACGUGCGUGGCCCUCGAGGGCGUGCUCAAGGUCCCCCCGAGGGGACGAAGCAGAAGAUUGAGCUCCGGGUCGAGGAGGUCGUCCACGUCGUCCCCGUCGACCCGGCCAAGUACCCGCUGCCGAAGACUAAGCUCACGCUCGAGUUCUUGAGGGACGUCGUGCAUCUGAGGCCGAAGACCAACACGGUGUUGUGAGAAGAGAGUAAGUGCUGUUGCAGUAAGCAAUGAUGGCCUAUUUGUGUGUUUUGCUGAUAAAUUUGAGUUGUUUGCGUUGUGAGUUUAAAGGAGGAUGCUGAAAAUCAGGCUUUGCCUGAUAAAAAAGCAGCACCAAUGCUGGCUCACUAUUGCAGCAUCAUCACUAGCUUGGAAUUUUCUCCAGAUGGAUGGUUCAUCGUCAGUGCUGAUCGGGAUUAUAAAAUUCGUGUUACUGUGGUUCCCAAGAAUCCAUUGGAUGGGGCUCACGAGAUACAAACUUUUUGCUUGGGUCAUUCUGAGACUAAACAUCGAAUCAUGUAUGCUGUUUAGAAGAUUUUAUUGACUUCAUUUGUUCCCCAGAUUAUCCACAUGGGAUUCUUGUUUCAGGAAGUGGUGAUUCCACUGUUCGCCUUUGGGAUGUGACAUUGGGUUCUCUCUUGGAUACUUGUGAAAUUGGAGCUAAGGCAGAACUUUCAGCUACUGAUAGAAUAGAAGAAGAGCCCUGUCAUGCUGUCACUGAUCUUUGCACUUGUCCAAAUGGUACAUCCAUAGCAUUGGCAGUUCAGAGGCAAGUUCCAGAAUACUCUCAACUCUUUAGGCUUGAACCUGGAAGAUUUCCUGAUUCAUUUUCUUGGUUCUGAUGCUUCAUGUGUGGUUUUUGUAGCUUGAAAGGUGUAAUGCUUUUGAACUGUGAUCUUUCUGCUAAAACUCUUUCUAUAGCUAAGGUAAGCAUAUCCCUAGUACUCUCCCUGUUUUGUAUUUUCGAAUAGCCUGCAAAUACAUGCAAUGCAUAGGUCAAUUUUCUUGCGACAUGUCUAUGCAUUAAGGGAUCGAUCUGGGGAAAGAAAAAUUCUAAUUAGGCUCAUUCCCUCAAUCCAUUGUAGCCAGACCUUUGAAUAGAUGACCGUCUGACAAUGUUUAUAUGAAUUAUUCAAUCUCGUAUCGAAGUUUAAGGUGGCUCGCACAUAUUUUGUUAUUACGAGUAGGUUGUAGAUUGUAAUCUAUUGUUGCUACUUCUGGACCCUUUUUUAAUAUAUUUUUUAAUUUUUUUUUGCC